AUGGGGAUGAGGCAAAGCCAGAUCCGGGCGUUCCGGGCGGCCGUGACCCUGCUGGAGUCCGGGGGGGACCUCCAGCCCCCCGGGGGGUCCCUGCGCCUCCUCUGCCGCGCCUCUGGAUUUGAUUUCGGGAAAUUUGCGAUGUUCUGGAUCCGCCAGAGACCCGGGAAGGCGCUGGAAUAUAUUUCAUCGAUCAGCAGAUCCAGCGGCAAGACGUUCUACGCGCCGUGGGUGCAGGGCCGGUUGACGAUGGGCAGCGACAACGGGCAGAGCUCGGUGACGCUGAGCAUGAACAACCUCCAGGACGAGGAUUCCGGGGUUUAUUUCUGUGCCAAAUCUGCUGCUGAUGGUGCUGGCUAUGGUGCUUAUCAGGGAUUUUGCCCCAAUCCCCAGGAUUUUGCCCCAAUCCCCAGGAUUUUGCCCCAAUCCCCAUGA